AGGACGAACGCUGGCGGCGUGCUUAACACAUGCAAGUCACGGGGGUCUCGGGGGCAACUCUGGGAUAACCGGCGAACGGGUGCGUAACACGUGAACAACCUGCCCUCGUGUGGGGGAUAGCCGGGCUAACGCCCGGGUAAUACCGCAUACGUUCUCUGAAGGGAGUCCUUUGGAGAGGAAAGCUCCGGCGCACGGGGAGGGUUCGCGGCCUAUCAGCUAGUUGGCGGGGUAAUGGCCCACCAAGGCGACGACGGGUAGC
rnacentral:rRNA from 1 species